rnacentral:rRNA from 1 species
GAGCGGCGGACGGGUGAGUAACGCGUGGGUGACCUGCCCCAUACCGGGGGAUAACAGCUGGAAACGGCUGCUAAUACCGCAUAAGCGCACAGAGCUGCAUGGCUCGGUGUGAAAAACUCCGGUGGUAUGGGAUGGGCCCGCGUCUGAUUAGGCAGUUGGCGGGGUAACGGCCCACCAAACCGACGAUCAGUAGCCGGCCUGAGAGGGCGACCGGCCACAUUGGAACUGAGACACGGUCCAAACUCCUACGGGAGGCAGCAGUGAGGAAUAUUGGUCAAUGGGCGCUAGCCUGAACCAGCCAAGUAGCGUGAAGGAUGAAGGCUCUAUGGGUCGUAAACUUCUUUUAUAUAAGAAUAAAGUGCAGUAUGUAUACUGUUUUGUAUGUAUUAUAUGAAUAAGGAUCGGCUAACUCCGUGCCAGCAGCCGCGGUAAUACGGAGGAUCCGAGCGUUAUCCGGAUUUAUUGGGUUUAAAGGGAGCGUAGGUGGACUGGUAAGUCAGUUGUGAAAGUUUGCGGCUCAACCGUAAAAUUGCAGUUGAUACUGUCAGUCUCGAGUACAGUAGAGGUGGGCGGAAUUCGUGGUGUAGCGGUGAAAUGCUUAGAUAUCACGAAGAACUCCGAUUGCGA